GCACAAACUUUAGUUGUCGCUCGUCGACGACAUGCAUCGCCAUGUUCGAUUUUUUUCAAGAGAUCGACCAAGAUCAUAUAAAUACGUGGUGGGUCCACGCGGUUUCGACCCUUUGUCAUGCCAUGCCAUGAAGGCUGAGCUGAACUCGCGGGCCGGAGAAGAUGCUAGCAAGUAAAUUUGGGCCUCGUCCCAUUGGAAAAUGACAAGCGGCGGCAGUGCUCGAAGGAGCGCCGCCGCUUGUGGGCGCGCACGGUCACUCUUCAUUCGGCCUUCACGAAGCAGAGUGGCUUCGUCGUAGCCCUCUCCCUCCCUCCCUGACCAAGUUCCGAUAGCCGGCGUCCAGCAGAGAUAACAUCGUUUAGACCAGAACUGCAGAAGUGGCUUUCCUAGCUUUGGGAGCUGCGACAUGGCAAUUGGCCCAGGACUUGAUUCUCUUGUAGAUUGUACGUCUCUUGACCAUCCUCUUAAGAGACAUACAAUCUCAUAUGCGCCCAAAGUGAUUCUCUUGUAGAUUUCAUGUCUCUUGACAAUCGUCUUUGGAGACGUACAAUUCUCAUAUGUAAAGACGAGGGCAAGAAACCCAAAGUGAUGCGAGUUGAAGUGCAAGACUUGGCCAUUGAGGUAGGCUUAGGAUGAUGAUCCGUUAGCUGUGGUCCUUGCUUCACCAUUGAGGAAAUGACAGGUCCAUUCCGAUUGAUCUCAUAUGCUUGGAUGAACAUUUUGCUACACAGUUCACAUAGCCUUGGAUGGGUAAAAUGCUAUGCAAGAAAAGUAAUAUCAAUAUGCUUGUUGAAGAUCGACUGGCUAGCAAAUGAAAAUCGUAGAGGCAUAUGUGGCGCUUUCCUGUUUAUCACCGACUCAUGAACUUGCAUUGUUCAUAGCAGCCUGGCUUAUGGUGUGGUCGGCUAUUUUUUUAGGUGGGCUUUGUGUUUCGAGCCUGUCCUCCUUUGUUACUUUACACCAUGGGAUGUUAAGUUGUUAAUCUGUUGAUGCUAAAAUGCCUAAUGUCAACAGGGAUAUCUGCUCUGCCUAUGGAUUUCCCGCUC